rnacentral:rRNA from 1 species
CCUACGGGAGGCAGCAGUGGGGGAUAUUGCACAAUGGGGGGAACCCUGAUGCAGCGACGCCGCGUGGGUGAAGAAGCGCCUCGGCGCGUAAAGCCCUGUCAGCAGGGAAGAAAAUGACGGUACCUGAAGAAGAAGCCCCGGCUAACUACGUGCCAGCAGCCGCGGUAAUACGUAGGGGGCAAGCGUGAUCCGGAUUUACUGGGGGGAAAGGGGGCGCAGACGGCGAUGCAGGCCAGGAGUGAAAGCCCGGGGCCCAACCCCGGGACUGCUCUUGGAACUGCGUGGCUGGAGUGCAGGAGGGGCAGGCGGAAUUCCUGGUGUAGCGGUGAAAUGCGUAGAUAUCAGGAGGAACACCGGUGGCGAAGGCGGCCUGCUGGACUGCAACUGACGUUGAGGCCCGAAAGCGUGGGGAGCAAACAGGAUUAGAUACCCCUGUAGUC